UUAUAAAAAGGAAACAUCAAUAUAUGUUCAAACCUUUCUAUGUUUGCAUUUAGAAAAAGUAAAAAGUCGAGCGUUGCCCCCGCCCGGCGGUGGCUCUUGUUAUUGUAAAAAUAGAAAGACAGAUUAUAAUAAUCCAGAAUUUGACAAGGGUUAGGGGUUGAAGUUGUUUUUAUUAUCAUUGAACAAAAUGUAAUAUAUAAAUGGAUACUAUCAUACAUGAAAAUAAAAAAAAACACAAACAAAAAGAAUGAUAUAUACAUGUUUAAAUAGUUAUAUGAUAUAUGAUACAAGGGAAUGGUAUAUAUAAAUACCAGUUAUAUGAUAUAUAUGACACAGGAAUGGUAUAAAUAAAUACCAGUUAUAUAAUAUAUAUGACACGAGAAUGGUAUAAAUAGAUACCAGUUAUAUGGUAAAUAGGACAGGGGAAUGUAUAAUAAUACCAGUUAUAUGUUAUAUAUGACAAGGGAAUGGUAUUUAUAAAUACCAGUUUUAUUAUACAUUAUACUAAGGACAAGGGAAUGAUUAUAUAUAUAAAUACCAGUUAUAUGAUUUAUAGGGCAGAUGAUCAGUAUAUAUUAUUACCAAUUAUAUGAUAUAUAGGAUUAUAUGAUAUAGAGGAAUUGUAAAUUUUUUAUAUGAAUACCUGUUAGAUGUCAGGACAAGUAAAUGGUAUACUUUUUUUUCAUGGAGAUGAGGACUACUUACAAUUUAUAUUUUAGAAAUUCCUUCUUUGAUUGUUUUAUAUGGUAAUGAUUGAAAAAGGGAGAAAAAUUAUAAUUAUGCAAAAUGAUUAAUUUGUACAAGUUAAUAUUUUUAGUCAGUAUAAGUCAAAGUGUAUAUCAAAAGGGGCUUCACUGAGGAUUUUUGACAUGUUUGGAAUUAAAUUUUCUUGAUUUUUUUAGAUUGAUAGGAUGAGAAUAUUCUUGAGGUUUCCUACUAUUUCAAUAUAACUAUUAACUUGUGUGCAAAAAAUUUAGAUCAUUCUUUAGAUCAAGCUGUAUCUCCAUUACAACUUCGGGUGGAUUAGAACCUCACGCACAUAUGAGAGUAAUAGGAAGUCUCUGUCCGAGGACCAUGAAUAUAACAUAAAUUUUGACAGAGUUAUUGCCCUUUUUGAAGUUAGAAAGUUCUGCAGUCGCCAUCACUGUGGAUAGCUGAGCACACUGUGCUGUCGAGAGCUCUUGUGGUUCAAAAUGAUAUAAAUGUUAAUAGCUUAACUCCCCUUAAAAUUACACAUAAUAAAUAUUAAUUUUCAAUUUUUUUCUAAGUUUUUUUCUUUAGAAAUAGUAUUAUUUUUAUAUGCCCGAAAUAAUUUCAGUCAUAUUAUGUUAAACCCCCUGGCGUCCGUCCGUUUGUCCGUCCGUCCGUUUGACCUUCAAACUGAAAACAGUUUCCGGAGCAUAACUUAAGUUCCAUUUGGUCCACAAUAUUUAAACUGCAUAGGAUGAUUGUCCAUAUUGAGUAAAAGACCCCUAUUGCUUUUGGGGUCACAUGGUCAAAGGUCACUAUUACUUUAAAACUGUAAAACGUUUCCAGAACAUAACUUAAGUUCCACUUGGUCCACAAUAUUUAAACUUCAGAGGCAUGGAUUGCUAUUUGAAGGAGGUAAUACUUUAAUUCUCAUGUCUUACACAUGCUUCAACCUUACUAAAAAAUCAACACUUUUGGGCAUAUAAUGCUCUGCCUAGCGGUGCUCUUUUUAUAUAUUUUCCGUAUUAAGUUUCCAAAUUAAUCUGUUUCGGAUUUUCUACUUUAAUUUUUUAUUUAGGGUUUUGGACCUCAGUGGAGCUUUUUUAAGUGAACUUUAAUGUUUAUUUUUUUUUAAAUUAUAUAGAUAAACUUAAGGUAACUGAGUAUAAACAUGUCUAUCUGUAAAUUAAGAUGUACAUAUCAGGAAUAUUAUACCAGUUUGUGGCUGCUCCUCAGGGAUAUAUAUUCCCAUUCUCGGCUGUCCCAAGGGUAAUUUGCCGGUUUUGAGCGGCCUCUCUUGGAUAUAUACCAGUUUUUGACUAUACUAAGGAAAUAAAUUAUGACAGAAAUAUCUGUAAGUCUAUAAUUACUCAGCUUAUUUCAAUAUUUCAGUAAAAUGUUACAUUUGUCUUCUUUAUUUCUUGAUUUUCUGCACAUUUAAGUACAGUUACUUUGAAAUAAAAUUUACCAUUAAUGGAUUGCCUAGCUUUUGAAAUUUUGUGCACUGAGAAAAUGUAAAUUUUAAUUGAAUCAGUUUAAAUGUGAAUGGGUACCCCAUGCAUAUAAACAAAUACACUUCAUUUGUGAUGAUUGUAGUUCAGCCCAGUAUAUGUGGUUUCAUAUGAUGCUAAGACUGAAAAUUAAAUGUUUUCAGACAGUAAAGAUAUAACUACAUUUUAUUAAAGCUUGGUUAGUUUGUAUGGUUGCUGAUGUUAGUAUAUACAUGUACCAGGAUUAAGAUAUGUUAUAUAUAAACAUUUGUUACACAUGUCUGUGCCUUUAUUCUGAAUGAAUAAAUGAAUGAAUGUAUCUAGUACAUAUGUAAACAUAUUAUAACAUAUAUAUACAUGUUUGUUGUAUAGUUACAUGCUAUUGCAAUGCUUUGAUGAAAAUAAGAUAACAUAAUUUUAUAUAAAGAAACAUUUUGGGACAUGUAAUCCUACAUACAUCUUAAACAGUUAUACCUGUUUGAUUUAAAGGCCCAUUAAGCCUUAAAAAUGCACUCCCUUUUAUUUUUAAAAAGCUUAAUUGUUUUAUGUCCAAAGAGUUUUUCAUUGUCCAUAUACCAGAACCAUCAUUUGUUUGUUUUGCAUUUAUUCAUGUUUGAUUUAAAGGCCCAUUAAGCUUAGAAAAUGCAGUAUGUUAUUUUUCAAAAGUUUAUGUUUUGGUGUCCAAAACGUUUUUCAUUGGCCAUAUAUCUAAGUUAAUGUUUGUUUCUUUUGCAUUUUAGCAACUAAAACAGUUAUGAUGAAUCAGUAUUAUAUAAAAUUAUGGAAGUCAAAUUACAUUUUUUUUACAUUUUGCAUCUGUAAUAAGAAAUUAAACUCAAUUUUUUUGGCAGUUGAUAAGAAGAGCACUUGUUCUAAAUAUAUUAUUACAACAUUAUAAAACACAUAUUGGCCCUUUUACAAAAAUAAAAAUCUAUUCAUUUCUGAGGCGAAAUGUGCCUUUAAACUUUAAAUGUAUAUGUAGAGUAAAUUCAUCUAGUAUAUAAGUAAACAUAUAAUUACAUGAAGAUGUUAUUAAUUGUUAACUAGAUAUAUGAAUGUUUAUCUUUAUUUCAUGCUUAGAUUUGUUAUGUCUUGUGAACAUAUGCAUCAGACAUGUUUGUUUGUGACUUGGAAUAUAGAUUUUAUAAUUCUAGUAUAUUUGUAAACAUAUAUUAAUUUACAUGUACUAAUAACAAAUAUAUAUUGGCCAUGUUUAUGCUUAAACAAUUCUAUAUGAAGUAAAGAUAAGAUCAUGCUGGAAUAUGUCAAUUAUACAUAUACAUAUAUAUAUAACAUGACUGUUUAAAACCUGAAAUGUUUAUGGAAAACAGUAUUCAGUAUAUGAGCCGUCUCACGACAAAACCAAAAUAGUGGGUUUUCGACCAGCAUUGAUCCAGACCAGCCUGCGCAUCUGCGCAGUCUGAUCAGGAUCCAUGCUGUUUGCUAUCAGUUUCUCUACUUGUAAUAGAGUUGGUAAGCGAACAGCAUGGAUCCUUAUCAGACUGCGCGGAUGCGCAGGCUGGUCUGGAUCCAUGCUGGUGGCAAACCCACUAUGUUGGUUUUGUCAUGGCGCGGCUCAUAUAAUCUUAUCAUGGAAGCUUCAUAGACAUAAUUGUUAUUAUACUGUUUUUGUUAUUAAUGUAGUAUUUUUAAAAUAAAUCAUGUUUGUUUGAUUGGUUUUGCUAGCAUGAAUAUGUGACUUUUCUUAAUAAAAGAUUGUACAAAAUU